AGUGAACGCUGGCGGCAGGCCUAAUACAUGCAAGUCGAACGGCAGCACGGCAGAGCUUGCUCUGUGGGUGGCGAGUGGCGGACGGGUGAGGAAUACGUGGGAAUCUGCCCAGUCGUGGGGGAUAACGUAGGGAAACUUACGCUAAUACCGCAUGCGCCCUUCGGGGAAAGCCGGGGACCUUCGGGCCUGGCGCGAUUGGAUGAGCCCACGUCGGAUUAGCUAGUUGGCGGGGUAAAGGCCCACCAAGGCGACGAUCCGUAGCUGGUCUGAGAGGAUGAUCAGCCACACUGGAACUGAGACACGGUCCAGACUCCUACGGGAGGCAGCAGUAGGGAAUAUUGGACAAUGGGCGCAAGCCUGAUCCAGCCAUGCCGCGUGAGUGAAGAAGGCCCUCGGGUUGUAAAAGCUCUUUUGUCCGGAAAGAAAAAGCGCCCGGGUUAAAUAACCCCUGGUGUCCUGACGGUACCGGAAGAAUAAAGC
rnacentral:rRNA from 1 species